AUACGGAGGGUGCGAGCGUUAAUCGGAAUUACUGGGCUUAAAGGGCGUGUAGGCGGCUAGAUCAGUCGGGUGUGAAAGCCCUCGGCUUAACCGAGGAAUUGCAUUCGAUACUGUCUAGCUAGAGCGCGGGAGGGGAGAGUGGAACUCUAGGUGUAGCGGUGAAAUGCGUAGAUAUCUAGAGGAACGCCGGUGGCGAAAGCGACUCUCUGGCCCGCAACUGACGCUGAGGCGCGAAAGCUAGGGUAGCGAACGGGAUUAGAAACCCCAGUAGUCC
rnacentral:rRNA from 1 species